GGACUACCCGGGUAUCUAAUCCCGUUCGCUCCCCUGGCUUUCGCGUCUCAGUGUCAGAAAACGUCCAGGACCUCGCUUUCGCCACGGGCGUUCCUUCCGAUCUCAACGCAUUUCACCGCUCCACCGGAAGUUCCAGGUCCCCCUACGUCCCUCCAGGACGGUCGUAUCGGCGCCCCUUCCCCGGUUGAGCCGGGGGAUUUCAACGACCGACGUGCCGUCCCACCUACACGCGCUUUAAGCCCAGUGAUUCCGAAUAACGUUCGCACGGUUCGUCUUACCGCGGCUGCUGGCAC
rnacentral:rRNA from 1 species